rnacentral:lncRNA from 10 species
AUCAUGGCUCACUGCAACUUCUGCCUCCCUGGCUCCCAGCCUCAAGUGAUCCUCCCACUCCAGUCCCCUGAAGCAACUGGGACCACAGAGUAAUUUUAUGCUGAUUGAAGAAAAGAAGUAAACAGAGUUCCAGAAAGCAACUGCAAAUACUCAUUUUGAAAAAGAAAACAAAACAAAAACAAGGGAGACAUUUUAAAAGGUGCUAAAGCAACAGGACCAGUUGCCAGAGAGCUUAUUUUACCUCCCCAAAACAAGAUUGGUGUUUCAUCCUUGAGUUUAGUACACAGGAUUGUUCUUAUUCUUCUGCAGAUAGAGAGGUGCACUGCUUUAUGCUGCAAGUUGUCUAUAAGACAAGUUUUGUGAGUAUCAAAUAUUUGUAAGCAAAUCAAAUUUCUCCCCCAGUUGAAAUGAUUAUUUCAGAAGAAUUUCUUCUUUGUUUUGAAUUGGACUUCUGAGUUGGACUUCUCAGCAUGAUAAAGAAGAAAGAGCAUUAGAAUAAGAAAGAAGAUUAAGCUUCUUGUUUUGAUUAUGCCCAUAAUCAGCUGUGGGACCCCGGGCUAAUGCACUCCAAAAUCCCACUGUUCUGUGACCUUGCUAUGUGGGGCAUCAGCCUCCUCAUCUCUAAUAUUUUGGAUUUAAGUUAGUUGAUUUUUAUGGUCCCGCAAUGGAAUUCUUUAAACAACUCCACUAAUCCAUGAUACUGUUGCUUUAAAAAUCUUGGUUUUAGCUUUCCUCUAAGGAAUUUAUAGUGACAAUUAUCUACUUUUUUUUUCUUAAAUAAAAAUAGAGGUGGG